rnacentral:lncRNA from 1 species
GUCAAACAUAAAAUUUUAAACAUAGAUUUUAAAAUACAAACAUUAAAACAUUAAAACAAAGAUUACUUAAAUAAACGAUAAUAAUUUGAAAUAUACGUCGAAGCUCAGUUGUUGUCUUGAUCGCGUCCAAAUUUAUGUCAUAUAUGUUCAACCAAAUCACCUUUCAGUUGUUGAUGCGUUUGUCUAUCAUGAAUUCUUGUUCGAACACCCAUCUGAUUGGCGAUAUUUGUAGAGAUAUCUGUAAAAUAGGUGAGAUCGACAUAUGAACUUCCGCUUCCUUCUCCUUGUUGAAAAUCCGAAACAUUGUAUUGAGUGUAGUCAUCUCGUUCGUUUUCUACUAUCACAUUAUGGAGUAUGAUACAUGCUCUCAUAAUCUUCACAAUCUUGACUUUAUCCCAAGAAAGUGCCAAAUUUUUAACAAUGGCAAAUCGAGCUUGCAAGACUCCGAAAGCACGUUCGACAUCUUUUCGGGCAGCUUCUUGUCGUUGAGCAAAUAAAACUGCUUUCGGCCCUUGUGGAAGUGGAAUAGAUUGGAUCAAAGUUGCCCAUUUCGGAUAAAUACCAUCGGUGAGAUAGUAAGCCAAAUGAUAC